GUGAGGAAUAUUGGACAAUGGAGGAAACUCUGAUCCAGCCAUGCCGCGUGAGUGAUGAAGGCCUUCGGGUUGUAAAGCUCUUUCGGGUGUGAAAAUGAUGAUGGUAACACCAGAAGAAGCCCCGGCUAACUCCGUGCCAGCAGCCGCGGUAAUACGGAGGGGGCGAGCGUUGUUUGGAAUCACUGGGCGUAAAGCGUGCGUAGGCGGUUAUACAAGUCAGGAGUGAAAUCCCAGGGCUCAACCUUGGAAUUGCUUUUGAGACUGUAUGACUAGAGAUCUAGAGAGGUUGGGGGAAUUCCGAGUGUAGAGGUGAAAUUCGCAGAUAUUCGGAGGAACACCAGUGGCGUAGGCGCCCAACUGGCUAGAUACUGACGCUGAGGCACGAAAGCGUGGGGAGCAAACAGGAUUAGAAACCCGGGUAGUCC
rnacentral:rRNA from 1 species